rnacentral:rRNA from 1 species
UACAGAGGUGGCAAGCGUUGUUCGGAUUUAUUGGGCGUAAAGGGUCCGUAGGCGGUUUGGAAAGUCGGAUGUGAAAUCCUACAGCUCAAUUGUGGAACUGCAUUCGAAACUUCCAGACUUGAGUGUGAGAGAGGUAAAGGGAAUUCCCGGUGUAAGGGUGAAAUCUGCAGAGAUCGGGAGGAACACCAGUCGCGAAGGCGCUUUACUGGAUCACUACUGACGCUGAGGGACGAAAGCCAGGGGAGCAAACGGG